rnacentral:rRNA from 1 species
GACGAACCGUGCGAACGUUGUUCGGAAUCACUGGGCUUAAAGGGCGCGUAGGCGGCUUGCCAAGUCCGGGGUGAAAGCCCCCAGCUCAACUGGGGAAGGGCCUCGGAUACUGGCGAGCUCGAGGGAGGUAGGGGUCGAGGGAACUUCUGGUGGAGCGGUGAAAUGCGUUGAUAUCAGAAGGAACGCCGGUGGCGAAAGCGCUCGACUGGAUCUCUACUGACGCUGAGGCACGAAAGCUAGGGGAGCAAACGGG